CRCCYUAUCUGAGAGAUUCGGGAGUGCUCGAAAGAGAACCGGCGCACAGGUGCUGCAUGGCUGUCGUCAGCUCGMUCGKGRGAUGUUGGGUUAAGUCCCGCAACGAGCGCAACCCUUGUCCUUAGUUGCUACGCAAGAGCACUCUAAGGAGACUGCCGGUGACAAACCGGAGGAAGGUGGGGAUGACGUCAAGUCCUCAUGGCCCUUAUGGGUAGGGCUUCACACGUCAUACAAUGGUCGGAACAGAGGGUUGCCAACCCGCGAGGGGGAGCUAAUCCCAGAAAACCGAUCGUAGUCCGGAUUGCACUCUGCAACUCGAGUGCAUGAAGCUGGAAUCGCUAGUAAUCGCGGAUCAGCAUGCCGCGGUGAAUACGUUCCCGGGUCUUGUACACACCGA
rnacentral:rRNA from 1 species